AAUCCUCGUAUUAAAGAAACAUCACAAUUCUGCAGCUCUGGGUUCCCAGAAGUGGAAGUCGUCACAGUUGGGAACCUUCUAUAGUGGUGUACAGUGUACAGUGCAUGCUGAAUUAUUAUGUUUGUCCAAGAUGGACGGCAGAGGUCCAAGCAGACGAAGUGAAGAUGAAUCGUUUAAUCUACCGAUGUACGCUACCUUCAUCAGAGCGUGCGCUUGUAGUUUUGGCACCACACCUGUUCCUAGAUCAGCAGUGGCCCACAAAUUGAUUAUGGUCUGUAUCACCGAGUCAUUCAAUCUGACCAGGGGCCAGAGAAAUUGAAAAGGGGCCAGGCUGUGAUUGACUGCCCUCGCAGCAUCCUCUGUCUCUUGGCCCGUCUCAGAAGGGCUUAAUGGAACCAUCACUCCAGCGAUCCGCGGGCCGACUCAGCCCAGCGUGUAGCCGGCUGCGUCCUCCAGUCAAGGGCAGCUUGGACAACACUGCCCCCUCCCUCGCUGCAGGAGGGUUUAAUGUACCUCACUGCCACAUCAGAUCAUAUCCAGGUCAUCCCUGAUAAACGGCGACAGACAUAAGCAUUAGCUGCAUGCAGAGCCUGGAUAUGAUGUGCAUGUG